CUUCUCAACUUAACUCCAUUUGAAGAUCAGGCAUAUGUCAAAAAAGAUGAUACAAAACAACCAGGCAUUCAAUCUGCAAAUGUUAAUAAUAAUGGGCUUCAACUGUGGCAUCCAUGGUUAUAAAUCUCUAAAUUCAGUACACGGUACUACAGCGGGCAAAAAUAAAGCUACUGCUCAGGUAGAUCAGAUUGUGGCUCAUAACGCACAAAAAUCUUUUCUAUCGGCCAGCUACAACAGAUCUAUUGUUAAACAAUAUGAGUAACAUCCUAAUCACUUGUUGCCCGCAAAAUCAAUAAAAAAGUGAACAGGGAUCAUAACUAUAAAUCAUCUCAGAUUUGCAAGUUUUCCUCUACAACAGCGCCAGAAGUGACUCCCCAAACAGAUUCUAAGAGACAAACUGCAUGUGGGAAUAACACAAAUAGUAGAUAUAAAAUUUUGAUUCCUAAACCAUAAUUGAAAAAGAAAAAAGAAAAAGAAAAAAAAGGCAUGAAACCAUCUGCCACAGAACAAAUCCACUUUGAAUGACUCUAAGCUGAGUCUUCUUCUUCUUGCUUGUCUUCGCCUGGCUUUUGCUUGGAUGGGGUCAAAGGAGAAGGUGAGCCCUCCACUCCCAUCUCUGCUCUCAAGUCAUUUAUGCUCUGCUCCAAGUCAUUUAUGCGAGUUCCCAUCUCGUCAAGUGCAUUGAAGUUAAGAAAACAAGGAAUCCCACAAAUUUUGAAUCAGCUAUACAGCUAAAUAAACAUUGAAGGGGAGAAAAAGCAAAUAUUUACAUGGUAGCCAAAAGACAGGUAUCUAACCUGUUUAUAGACCUAAAAAACCUUAAAACCCAGCAUCCAAAGCUCAGAUCUAAUAAUUUCCCAUCAAGAUAAUCUAAACUCAUUUCAUCUAAGAAUGGUAACUGAAUACCAUAAUAUAUCCAAGACGUAGGAUGAUAUCGAUUAAUACCAUCAAAAUAUUCUCAACUAGGUUUCAUGUUAAACAAUUUCCAAGAAGGUAUGCAACCAGCAAGCUCACACCAGGACACCAUACAAUAUUUCCUUUUUCAUGUACUGACAGGUCCAUCAAUUUCAAUCACAAAGAUAUUUAAAAUAAAUUUAUCAUAGACAACUCAAAACAAAUGGGAAGGAUAUUCUUUGUAAUAAUUGAGUCGGACAUUGUUUGGAACCUGGAUUGCUGCAAAUAAAAUUUUAGUCAGCAACAGUAGCAUAAAAACAACAAACAAGAGGUCUAAGAAAUAACUCACCAUCUGCUGAAGAAGAUUUUGCACCUGAAACAUUAAUGCAAAUAAGUCAUCGUUACAGAUCUUAUAAGAAAAGCACAAACAUACUGAAGCCGGAAUAUCACAUAGGUAUGACAUGAAAUAAGAAGGAUUCAAACAUAUUUAAGGUAUCAAGGGCUAAAAAUCUUAAAUAUGACAAAACCAUGUGAGCCAAACAUGUUCUGAGUUUGCACUACAAUCUCAAUUCAGAAUUGAUUACACUUAAAGCCAGCAAGGCAUCAAAAGUCUGACAGAAUCUCAUAGUUUGACAGGAGGAUUAAGUAGUAAUAGGAAUCACUCAGGUAUUGAAAAUGUCAAGAAACUCACAAAAGCAGUCAUAUCAGCAGUGCUUUUCUUCGGAUCUUCUGAUUCAUGGGCAUCCUACAAAAGAAAAAAUAAAUAAAUAGAAAAAUAAUACUAAAACCAGUUACACCACUUAGCAAAAGAAGAUGCUAUAAUGCAGUACACACUGAUUUUGUAUUGUAAAAUAUUUGGUAGAAUUUCACAUGAUAGACUGCAAAAUUCUCUAUUCCCAACAAAAUCAAUAAAACUUCCAAUUGUUAAUUGAAUGAUUCCAUUAAGGCAGAAAUGAUCUAAACAAGACAUUCUGAAUCAAACUACUAGUCAAAAGCUCAGAGAGUUGAAACCCUAGCGGUUUAAAAUACGCAAAAUCAAACAAUUUACUGAAAACAAAACACAAAUAUAGGAUUACAACAGAGCUUAACGAUUAAUUUUUAUGUGGAUUUAGCAGAAAAGAGCCUA
rnacentral:misc_RNA from 1 species